CAUUCAGUAGCCAGCUACUUGUUUACACCCUUGUCUUUUUGCGUACUUAUCGUUUCCUCGGCGGGCUUGCCUGCCGGUUGGACAACUUUAUAACCUUUUUAAAUCUUCAAUCAGCGUCUGAAUAAUAUACAAUAAUUA
rnacentral:misc_RNA from 1 species